rnacentral:rRNA from 1 species
UACGGAGGUUGCAAGCGUUGUUCGGAAUUACUGGGCGUAAAGGGAGCGCAGGCGGCCAAGUCAGUCUGAAGUGAAAUCCCGGGGCUUAACCUCGGAAGUGCUUUGGAUACUACUUGGCUAGAGUACGUGAGAGGUGAGCGGAAUUCCAGGUGUAGCGGUGAAAUGCGUAGAUAUCUGGAGGAACACCCGUGGCGAAAGCGGCUCACUGGCGCGUAACUGACGCUGAGGCUCGAAAGCGUGGGGAGCAAACGGGAUUAGAUACCCCGGUAGUCCACGCCAUAAACGUUGUGCACUAGGUGUGGGAGGUAUCGACCCCUUCCGUGCCGCAGCUAACGCAUUAAGUGCACCGCCUGGGGAGUACGGUCGCAAGACUGAA